rnacentral:snRNA from 1 species
GUGCUCGCUUCAGCAGCACGUACACUAAACUUGGAAUGAUACAGAGAAGAUUAACAUGGCCCCUGUGCAAGGAUGAAAUGCAAAUUCAUGAAAUAUUCCAUAUUUUA